UCGUCUUCUAUGUAUAAUGUUCACUACAAAUCUGUAAAAUUACUUAUGCUGAACUUUCUUCGUCUUUGCAAUGCAAGCAUAAUAACACGUCUUGCAUGGCAGGGCAUAGGUUACAAUAAAGAAUUGAUUAAUAUUUUUUUACAACUACAUUGCUUCAUGAAUAUAUUUUUAAUAUAUUCUUUAUUCUAUUUUAGAAUCGUAAUCUUGUUUAUAAGCACCCAAAUGCGGGCGUAAGUUGGCUUUUAUCGCACAAAUCUGUCAAAAAUUGCUGAUUGUUCAUUUACACUAAUCAAUUAAUUAUUCAAACACGCUUCGAUAUUCAACGUUUUUUUUUAAGUUGGAAAAAUAAUAUUUUAUCAAAUCAUUACCUGACCGACUUCAAAUUCUUCUAAACUUUCUUUUGAUUCUGUAUUUAUUUAAAAAUUAAUUUUUCUUUAAAGUUUUUUGACGUUCAUCACAUUUGCACUGAACUCGUAUCUAAGGUGAUUCAUCAACAGUUUUGUUCGUAAAAAAAUGUUUCAAAAUGAGUUCUCGUUUUGGGCAAAAUUCUGGGCAAGUGAUAGACGCCGCAGUAAAUAAACUAACUCCAGUGAAUACAAAAAAGUCCUGAGAUUCUGCAUGGAAACAGUUUCAAUAAUUUUGCGAUGAAAGAAAAUAUACUCUGAACAAUAAGGAAACUACCGUAUCCGAAUUGGUUCUAAUUCUAAAAGAUUUCGCUUUCAACAUGAGGCGCAAUGAUGGAGAAGAGUAUAAGGAAGGUGUUGUGAAGACUCUUUGGAAUAUUUAAGGCUUUUCAAAUUGUUGAAACAAAAAAGGGGAAAACAUAUUACGGUCGAACGCCUUUUCUUAAUUGUAAACUCAUCAUGGAUGAAAGAAAAAUCAAAACGUUUUUUCAAAAAUUGUCCAUUAGGAAGAAAUCAAAUUUCGAAGUGGACAAGACAGGCAGCAGAAGCUAUAGGAAUGGACGCGAAAAGAAUAAUAAGUGAUGAAAGCAGCAUGAAAAGCCCAUCAUCAUUAGUAUCCAGUAAAAUUUUAUAUUCAAAUUGUAGUUUCUAUACUUGUUCUUUUUCUUAAAAUAAAAAUUUAAAACUAAA